GAUGAACGCUGGCGGCGUGCCUAAUACAUGAAAGUCGAGCGAACAGACGAGGAGCUUGCUCCUCUGACGUUAGCGGCGGACGGGUGAGUAACACGUGGAUAACCUACCUAUAAGACUGGGAUAACUUCGGGAAACCGGAGCUAAUACCGGAUAAUAUAUUGAACCGCAUGGUUCAAUAGUGAAAGACGGUUUUGAUGUCACUUAUAGAUGGAUCCGCGCCGCAUUAGCUAGUUGGUAAGGUAACGGCUUACCAAGGCAACGAUGCGUAGCCGACAUGAGAGGGUGAUCGGCCACACUGGAACUGAGACACGGUCCAGACUCCUACGGGAGGCAGCAGUAGGGAAUCUUCCGCAAUGGGCGAAAGCCUGACGGAGCAACGCCGCGUGAGUGAUGAAGGUCUUCGGAUCGUAAAACUCUGUUAUUAGGGAAGAACAAAUGUGUAAGUAACUAUGCACGUCUUGACGGUACCUAAUCAGAAAGCCACGGCUAACUACGUG
rnacentral:rRNA from 1 species